rnacentral:lncRNA from 1 species
UAUCAAAAUACCGACACAUGACAAGAAGUUGGGCCAAGGGGGAAAUGAAGGUGAAGAGAACUUCUCAGAGAAGAUAUGGAAACUAACAUCAUACAGCUAAUGAAAGUCAGAACUUGAGCUCUCACCCAGGACACACAAGUGAAGAACAAUGAAUAAGAGGAUGAAACAAUUAAUAUGGGUGCAAACAUUUCAUCAUUAAUUUUUAAGGGAUUUUUAAAGAAAAGCUAGUAAAAUUUCCGUGUCAAACAACAUGCUUUAAGAAAAGAGAAACCUCUUUGGCUGGUAACUGUGUCUUCAGCCCUUCAGACAAGACAUGCUCGAGGAAAAAAACGGCAGUAGUUGCAGCACCGACAUAGACCCCAGCCUUGGUUUAAUUGUCAUUUUCUCAUGAAUCUG